rnacentral:rRNA from 1 species
GUUCGGGGGACAGGGUGACAGGUGGUGCAUGGUUGUCGUCAGCUCGUGUCGUGAGAUGUUGGGUUAAGCCCCGCAACGAGCGCAACCCUUGUCACUAGUUGCCAUCAUUUAGUUGGGCACUCUAGUGAGACUGCCGGUGACAAACCGGAGGAAGGUGGGGAUGACGUCAAGUCCUCAUGGCCCUUAUGGGUAGGGCUUCACACGUCAUACAAUGGUCGGUACAGAGGGUUGCCAAGCCGCGAGGUGGAGCCAAUCCCUUAAAGCCGAUCGUAGUCCGGAUCGUAGUCUGCAACUCGACUACGUGAAGUCGGAAUCGCUAGUAAUCGCAGAUCAGCAUGCUGCGGUGAAUACGUUCCCGGGUCUU